AGCAGCUUAGUGGUUACAGCGUUUGCCUCGGAUGAAGAAGGUUGUGGGUUCGAUCCCCGGUAGAGUCA